UAGCGCCUGCAAUUUAGCAUGAUUAUGUGGUGAGAAUUGAUGAUGCUCGAGCAGACGAUAUAACUCCUUAUACUGUCCACGAUGGAAUGCAACAACGGCCUUCGCUUUCAGCACAGACUCGUUCAAUUGCAGUUUAUCACAUUGCGGUAAGGACCAUAGGAAGCGGCCCAGUCUUUCGAUGUUACCAGCUUGUUGGAGUACCUAGAACCAAUAUAAAUAUAACGAAACAAAAUAUAAAAUUAUCAAACUGUUAAUAUUUGUUAGUAACUUAAACACUUUUAUUGCCGCCUCACUUACCUCACACACGCAAGCCACUUGUUCCUGCGUGAAGCCAAAACUGGGCAACGUUUCACGCCCAUUACUGCCACCAUUCGUAUUGCUGAUAUGACCACCGCCACCACCACCGCUGAUAGGUCCAAUAAUACUGCCAUUGUGUCCCAACAUGUCUAAAUUAUUAUUGCUUGAAUUGUUGUUAUUGUUAUUGCUAAGACCUGCUCCUACGCUGAUCAAACCCGUCGGACUGUAUGGUGGCGUUUGACGCGCACUCAAUACGGCAGCAUUGGCGGCAGCCAAGUCGUAGAAAUCUGUGGCGUUUUCGAUAACAAAAAAAAACUGUUUACAAGAGUUAAUGGAGCAAGCGACGCAUUGCUUUAGUUAUUGGAAAACCUGCAAAAGAACAAAACAACACACAUACAUAUUUUAAAAGGUCAUUCAGAAAAUUCAUAUUUUUAUAUAUUUUAGAAUUAAAAAUAUUAUGUAAUGAUUUAAUAAAUGUUUUGCUAGUUUUGACUGGUGCACUUAAUACAGCUGAGCACAAAAA